UUGGCUCCUUUCGUUCGGCUCCUCUCGUUCGCACCAUCGCACCAUGCUGGAUAUCGUAGACGUGAGACCUCGUGUCAGAGAGUGUCCGCCCGAAAAUG
rnacentral:ribozyme from 1 species